CUUUUUGCUUUUUUACCUAUCCUCUCUACCAACUAUGGCAAGUCACGCCAUCUACCCUGCUGAUAAUAAUACGCUCGGCUGUAGCGAAUAGCUCUUUUUUUUUUUGACAGGCAACAGAUAACGAGAUAAAAUCGAAGAAUGGGACUCGAACUAAAUAAUAGUGCAUGGGUGACGGCGUGUAGGGAUGAUGAUGAAAUAAGAAAAGGAGUAAAGAAGAAAGAAGGGACAACGAUGACGCUGAUGGUAACUAGUGAUAGCUACUGGGACUGCUGGACAGGAGCAGGACGAGGGGACUCGUAAUAAAUCCUCUCCCGGGAGUUGUACGUCUCUCAGCCUCUUUUCCUCAUCCUCCGUCUCCCGCGUCUCUACCACCUUGCCCGUAACACAAGUACGAGGAUGAGGACGUGGAGCUCAAGCCAGAGUCGAGGUUAGGGUUGGAGGAAGAAGACCAAGGGGAAUGUCUUCUGUCUCUUUGGCUUCUCUCGCAGAACCGAUCGUGAAAGGAUCGGUAGUUGUGGACGGCACGAGGUUCACGUUUGUCAGUUUGUCCUUUGGACGUCUGGACAAAUCGAAUAAAGAGCGUCUCCAGGAUGGCGUGACUGUCUGCUGUAGAUCAGAGAAAAAGCAGGAUCCUCGGCGGCACUUAUAACUAUUAGGAGUGGCCAGUAGCAGCAAUCACUUAAGAUACACGUCUUCAGGCUCCAAGAUGCUAAACACUUAAGAACGUCCGCUUAAGCGUUAUCGGAUCUUAUUGGCUCUUUGAACAUUUGCACUUUGACCUUCGUCUCAUAAAACUCAUCAAACGUAAAGCAGACGCGCUCAUAAGCGCCAUGAACGGAAGAGCCUGAAAUUAAAAGAACCUGCUGCCACCGUCAGUCGCAUCUGUUUUCAUGUGAACGCGGCUUAGAUACCACGAAGAUCCCCUAAUCGAUUCUAACAUGAAAAACGAUCGCUGCUCCUAAGGUUUCCCGAUGCCGGAGUCCAUAGAGACCCAAUCGAUCGUGCCGAUCGAACUAUCAUCGAUGAUCCAGGUGUGAUCGAUCAUUCGAUCGAUAGGGUCACGUGGUGUAAUUGAAAUUUACGGAGUCCAUUUUUGGUAUCAAUGCCCGCUGAAGUGGAUCCAGCUCCAAUCUUUGGGAUAUCUGUGCUACGAAUUACUAAUGAUAAUGAAUAUCUUUGAAAUAAAAGCCAUGUCGGACCCGGUGUAAAUAAAAAAUUCAAUGGUCAACUUGGAGAAUGAGGAGGAAGAGGACAAGGUGCUGGUGCUGGUGCUGGUGCUGGCGACGAUGGAGACCCAUGGCGGAGUGUGGGAACGUAGGAGCUCGCCUUCAGGUCGUUGGGGUUAUUGAGGGCUCCCAUUACCGGUACACCGUCCCCGGCUAUCUUUCGCGCUAUUGAUGAUCUACCGAAAGCAGAUUAAUGAUUGUAACUCGGGCAACAAAUUGCUGGACAACGUGGAGUAGCCAUCGGCAACCUGGAGUGCUUCUUCAGCUUCCUCAGGCACCCUUAGCUCCCUACAGUGAUUCCCUUGGAUGUUUUACUGUUAUUUAUUUACUCUUAUUUACUUUAGUCACGCGGUAACGUAGCGCUAACGUCUUGUAACAAUAUUUGUAUUGUUUUGCAAUUUUUAAAUACCUUCGGCCCUAAUGGCUAAUUGCAGUAAAGUGCAGAAGAUAACGAUGCCUAUAAUUCUAUUAGAUAACGAGCUACGCGUAAACGUGACUCGAAAUGAGCCAUUCUCGCGUGCGGCAUCUUACUUCCUGUGUUACUUGGAUCCAAAGAAUCCAAGAUGGCCGCGGUGAGUGGUUUAUUCGGUUGCGAUCCUGGCAGUGCGAAUUAAAUGAGGA